CAAGUCGAGCGGCAGCGCGGGGCAACCUGGCGGCGAGCGGCGAACGGGUGAGUAAUGCAUCGGAACAUGUCCAAGUCGUGGGGGAUAGCCCGGCGAAAGCCGGAUUAAUACCGCAUGUGCCCGAGAGGGGAAAGUGGGGGACCGCAAGGCCUCACGCGAUUGGGUUGGCCGAUGUCCGAUUAGCUAGUUGGCGGGGUAAGAGCCCACCAAGGCGAUGAUCGGUAGCUGGUCUGAGAGGAUGAUCAGCCACACUGGGACUGAGACACGGCCCAGACUCCUACGGGAGGCAGCAGUGGGGAAUUUUGGACAAUGGGGGAAACCCUGAUCCAGCCAUUCCGCGUGAGUGAAGAAGGCCUUCGGGUUGUAAAGCUCUUUUGUCCGGAGCGAAACGGUUGUGGUGAAUAUCCACGACUACUGACGGUACCGGAAGAAUAAGCACCGGCUAACUACGUGCCAGCAGCCGCGGUAAUACGUAGGGUGCGAGCGUUAAUCGGAAUUACUGGGCGUAAAGCGUGCGCAGGCGGUUUUGUAAGCCAGAUGUGAAAUCCCCGGGCUUAACCUGGGAAUGGCAUUUGGGACUGCAAGGCUGGAGUUUGGCAGAGGAGACUGGAAUUCCUGGUGUAGCAGUGAAAUGCGUAGAUAUCAGGAGGAAUACCGAUGGCGAAGGCAGGUCUCUGGGCUAUAACUGACGCUCAUGCACGAAAGCGUGGGGAGCAAACAGGAUUAGAUACCCUGGUAGUCCACGCCCUAAACGAUGUCGACUGGUUGUUGGGGGUUUGACACUCUCAGUAACGAAGCUAACGCGUGAAGUCGACCGCCUGGGGAGUACGGCCGCAAGGUUAAAACUC
rnacentral:rRNA from 1 species